rnacentral:misc_RNA from 1 species
GAUGAAGAACGCAGCGAAAUGCGAAAAGUAGUGUGAAUUGCAGAAUUCAGUGAAUCAUCGAAUCUUUGAACGCACAUUGCGCCCUUUGGUAUUCCUUAGGGCAUGCCUGUUCGAGCGUCAUUUAAACCUUCAAGCUAAGCUUGGUGUUGGGUGACUGUCCGCUUCACGGCGGACUCGCCUCAAAAUUAUUGGCGGCCGGUACAUUGGCUUCGAGCGCAGCAGAAACGCGAACUCGGGCCCGUCGUAUUGGCUCCCAGAAGCUAUCUUCACAAUUUUGACCUCGGAUCAGGUAGGGAUACCCGCUGAACUUAAGCAUAUCAAUAAGCGGAGA